rnacentral:rRNA from 1 species
CUGCGGAAGGAUCAUUACCGAGUGCGGGUCCUUUGGGCCCAACCUCCCAUCCGUGUCUAUUAUACCCUGUUGCUUCGGCGGGCCCGCCGCUUGUCGGCCGCCGGGGGGGCGCCUUUGCCCCCCGGGCCCGUGCCCGCCGGAGACCCCAACACGAACACUGUCUGAAAGCGUGCAGUCUGAGUUGAUUGAAUGCAAUCAGUUAAAACUUUCAACAAUGGAUCUCUUGGUUCCGGCAUCGAUGAAGAACGCAGCGAAAUGCGAUAACUAAUGUGAAUUGCAGAAUUCAGUGAAUCAUCGAGUCUUUGAACGCACAUUGCGCCCCCUGGUAUUCCGGGGGGCAUGCCUGUCCGAGCGUCAUUGCUGCCCUCAAGCCCGGCUUGUGUGUUGGGUCGCCGUCCCCCUCUCCGGGGGGACGGGCCCGAAAGGCAGCGGCGGCACCGCGUCCGAUCCUCGAGCGUAUGGGGCUUUGUCACAUGCUCUGUAGGAUUGGCCGGCGCCUGCCGACGUUUUCCAACCAUUUUUUCCAGGUUGACCUCGGAUCAGGUAGGGAUACCCGCUGAACUUAAGCAUAUCAAUAAGCGGAGGAAAAGAAACCAACCGGGAUUGCCUCAGUAACGGCGAGUGAAGCGGCAAGAGCUCAAAUUUGAAAGCUGGCUCCUUCGGAGUCCGCAUUGUAAUUUGCAGAGGAUGCUUUGGGUGCGGCCCCCGUCUAAGUGCCCUGGAACGGGCCGUCAGAGAGGGUGAGAAUCCCGUCUUGGGCGGGGUGUCCGUGCCCGUGUAAGCU